rnacentral:rRNA from 1 species
UGGGGGAUAUUGCACAAUGGAGGAAACUCUGAUGCAGCGACGCCGCGUGAGGGAAGAAGGUUUUCGGAUUGUAAACCUCUGUCUUCGGUGACAAAAUGACGGUAGCCGAGGAGGAAGCCACGGCUAACUACGUGCCAGCAGCCGCGGUAAUACGUAGGUGGCAAGCGUUGUCCGGAAUUACUGGGUGUAAAGGGAGCGUAGGCGGGAAGACAAGUUGAAUGUUUAAGGUACCGGCUCAACUGGUACAAGCGUUCAAAACUGUUUUUCUUGAGUGGAGUAGAGGUAAGCGGAAUUCCUAGUGUAGCGGUGAAAUGCGUAAAUAUUAGGAGGAACACCAGUGGCGAAGGCGGCUUACUGGGCUUUAACUGACGCUGAGGCUCGAAAGCGUGGGUAGCAAACAGGAUUAGAUACCC